AUACAGGUGGUGCAUGGUUGUCGUCAGUUCGUGUCGUGAGAUGUUUGGUUAAGUUCAGCAACGAACCUUACCCUUGUCCUUAGUUGCCAGCAUUAAGUUGGGGACUCUAAGGAGACUGCUAGUGUAAGCUAGAGGAAGGUGGGGACGACGUCAAAUCAUCAUGCCCCUUAUGACUUGGGCUACACACGUGCUACAAUGGCUGAUACAAAGAGUCGCUAAACCGCGAGGUCAAGCAAAUCUCAAAAAGUCAGUCUCAGUCCGGAUUGAAGUCUGCAACUCGACUUCAUGAAGUCGGAAUCGCUAGUAAUCGCGAAUCAGCAAUGUCGCGGUGAAUACGUUCUCGGGUCUUGUACACACCGC
rnacentral:rRNA from 1 species